AUUGAACGCUGGCGGCAGGCCUAACACAUGCAAGUCGAGCGGAGCGGCGGACGGGUGAGUAAUGCCUAGGAAUCUGCCUGGUAGUGGGGGAUGACGUCCGGAAACGGGCGCUAAUACCGCAUACUAUCAGAUGAGCCUAGGUAGGAUUAGCUAGUUGGUGGGGUAAAGGCCUACCAAGGCGACGCUCAGUACCUGGUCUGAGAGGAUGAUCAGUCACACUGGAACGGAGAAAUGGUCCAGACGCCUACGGGAGGCAGCAGUGGGGAAGAUUGGACAAUGGGCGAAAGCCUGAUCCAGCCAUGCCGCGGGUGUGAAGAAGGUCUUCGGAUUGUAAAGCACUUUAAGUUGGGAGGCGUUACCAACAGAAUAAGCACCGGCUAACUUCGUGCCAGCAGCCGCGGUAAUUC
rnacentral:rRNA from 1 species